GUAGGUGAACCUGCGGAAGGAUCAUUAUCGAAAAAUGUUAACUGGUCGGAUUGUGCUGGUUCUUACAAGUGCACGUCCGAUCGGAUCCAUCCAAACCCCUGUGCAUCUUGACUCUGCGCUUGUAAUGAGCAAAGGGUAUUUUACUACACACUUUGUAUGUAUGUGAUAGAAACUGUGCUUUAGCACGAAUAAAUAACAACUUUUAACAACGGAUCUCUUGGCUCUC
rnacentral:misc_RNA from 1 species